ACCCCCUUUUUCACUUUUGCCAAUUGGACUUUAUGUCUUUAUUGGUCAUUCAAGUGGGGGCAAAAGAAACAUCCCUUUUAAAACUCAGGGCAAACUGGGUGUUUGUCUUGGAUCCUGUCAGAGGAAACAGGU
rnacentral:snoRNA from 1 species